rnacentral:rRNA from 1 species
GAGUGCACUUUAUUGUGGCUCUACAAUUUUUUUUCCAUCUAACCCUUUCAAAACCCAAAACUGUUAUGUGUACCCUUGGUAUAGCAUUCCAGUAGUACGCAUCAUGUGAAUAUAUUCACAAGUUGCAUUACCAACCUUUAUAAGUGACCUUUUUUUUUAAUUAACUUUAUGCUGUUUUUGGAAUGUAAACCCCCUUAAAUUAUAUAUAACUUUUAACAAUGGAUCUCUUGGCUCUCACAUCGAUGAAGAACACAGUGAAAUGUGAUAAGUAAUGUGAAUUGCAGAAUUCAGUGAAUCAUCGAAUCUUUGAACGCACCUUGCACCUUUUGGUUAUUCCAAAAGGUACGCCUGUUUGAGUGUCAUGAAAACCUCUCAUUCCAAUUCUUUAUUUAAUUAUAUAGAGUUGUGAUAUGGAUGUUGAGUGCUGCCGUAAUUUGGCUCACUUUAAAUGUAUAAGUACUUUUAUUGAAGAAAUAAAUGGAUAUUUACUCAGUGUAAUAUUUACUAUUCAUUGAGGAGUGUAGUCAAACUAUUAUUGAUUGACCACAGCCAUUUGACCCUUCAAUAAAUAGCUCCCUAACCUUCAUUUAUGAAUUAUUCUUUUAGACCUCAA